rnacentral:rRNA from 1 species
UACAGAGGGUGCGAGCGUUGUUCGGAAUUAUUGGGCGUAAAGGGCGCGUAGGCGGUGCGGUAAGUCACCUGUGAAAUCUCCUGGCUCAACUGGGAGCUUGCAGGCGAAACUGCCGUGCUGGAGUGUGGGAGAGGUGCGUGGAAUUCCCGGUGUAGCGGUGAAAUGCGUAGAUAUCUGGAGGAACACCGGUGGCGAAGGCGGCAUCCUGGACCAUUACUGACGCUGAGGCACGAAAGCGUGGGGAGCAAACAGG